rnacentral:rRNA from 1 species
UGGGGAAUAUUGCACAAUGGGCGCAAGCCUGAUGCAGCCAUGCCGCGUGUAUGAAGAAGGCCUUCGGGUUGUAAAGUACUUUCAGUCGGGAGGAAGGUGGUAAGGUUAAUAACCUUGGCAAUUGACGUUACCGACAGAAGAAACACCGGCUAACUCCGUGCCAACAGCCGCGGUAAUACGGAGGGUGCAAGCGUUAAUCGGAAUUACUGGGCGUAAAGCGCACGCAGGCGGUUGAUUGAGUCAGAUGUGAAAUCCCCGGGCUUAACCCGGGAAUUGCAUCUGAUACUGGUCAGCUGGAGUCUUGUAGAGGGGGGUAGAAUUCCAUGUGUAGCGGUGAAAUGCGUAGAGAUGUGGAGGAAUACCGGUGGCGAAGGCGGCCCCCUGGACAAAGACUGACGCUCAGGUGCGAAAGCGUGGGGAGCAAACAGG